UUGGUCUGUAUUUUCGGCCGGCGGUGGUGCGCUCCUUUGGCCACAUCGUCGGUCGGAUUGUCUUUCCUAUUUCUUUUUAGCUGUAUCUUUGGUUUCUUUUUGUCUACCAGUGAUUAUUAUCUUCAUACAUGCUCUAAACAUUUGUAGAUCCAGAUCGAUAGAUCCCUUCUCGGUUAUCCUUGAAUGUUGGUGGUAGAUCUUCUGGUGCAUGAUCUCGUCCCUCUGCUGGCUCCGGGUUCGGUUGAUCUAAGCACUGAAGGGUCUUGUUUCUAGAUUCACGGAUCUGAAUUUGGUUCAAGCUUCCUUUUUAUGUGCGCUUUUUAUGCUUUGGUUGGUUGCUUCAAGAGUUGAAGAUCUCGUUUUCAGGAGGAGCGCUUCUCCUUGGUUUCGUUUGCGAUGUCCGGUUCCUGUGCAUGUCAUUAUUCUCUUCUCCAUCAGAGUUUUCCGGCUAUGCUAAAGGAGUUGGAGCCUUGGCUCUUAGUCAACAUGUCGAUUGGUAAUUCAAGUUCUUCUCCUCGUCUACCCGGUUUGGAUUCAAAUGGUUUGUUCUCGUGGCUCUUGUUGAUCGUUGGAGCAGUAUAAUGAGACCCAUAUUGAAGAUCCAGCCUCAAUAAUUCGACUUUGGUGAUACGCUUAUCUCUUCUCCUCCUGAUUUCAAGCGUCUUCAGCUUCUUGAGUGUCUUGUUGUUUAUGAUUUUACUUAUGUUUGAGUUGUAUGAAUGUAUAAUCACUGUGUUUGUUUGGGUUAGUUUCCGGGGAAUUAUCUUCUUUCCGCCGGCUUUAGUUUCCAGGGAUUGUCCUUCAUCCGCUGGCUUUGUUUCCGGGGGUUUUGGUUAAACUCGCUGGCUCUGUAUCAAUCUGUAUGUUCUCACUUUGAUGAAUAUAAUCUUCUAGUGCUUAAAGAAAAAAGUAAUUAAAUUAUCCAAGAUUUAAAUAGUGGAAGGAUGCUU
rnacentral:lncRNA from 1 species